rnacentral:lncRNA from 1 species
UUGAAUUGGUGAAAGAGUUGAGACCAUGCUUGUAGACUCUUAUGGACGAGUCAAUUAUAAGUCUGGCAUGCGCAUGCAAGCACAUGAUUUUGCUCUAUCAAUAAAUAGUGUAAUCAAACCUUUUUAUGCCGACCCUUCUUUCACCAUAUUCCAGCUUAUUUGCUCUGAUAUAAGCUAGAUUUAACAUAUUCAGGGCCCAGAAAUUAGUAUUCAAGAUUUGCCUCAUUGAAAACUGGUCAGGAGUUCACGUUCACAAUAAGCAGUGAUCCUUUCUACUACUUGAGGGAUUGAGCAAAGGUACUAAUAGUUUUCUGUCCUAACAAGAAAUUAUUGAAAAAAGAUACCUCUCAUUCACGUAUUUUCUAUAAAUGCACAUUUAUUUAUAACAAUAGCACCAGGAUGAAUGUUUGUUACUCAUGAUAUUUUUAACUCAUUUGACCUCUUGAAUAAAGAUUCUUGAAAUUUGACUUCUGAAGUUGUGCCACUGCUUAUGUUGAACCAGAUUAUCAACAGUACAGUCAAAGAAGCAA